GAUGAACGCUAGCUACAGGCUUAACACAUGCAAGUCGAGGGGAAACGACAUCGAAAGCUUGCUUUCGAUGGGCGUCGACCGGCGCACGGGUGAGUAACGCGUAUCCAACCUGCCCAUCACUUGGGGAUAACCUUGCGAAAGUAAGACUAAUACCCGAUGAUAUCUCUAUAAGACAUCUGAAAGGGAUUAAAGAUUUAUCGGUGAUGGAUGGGGAUGCGUCUGAUUAGCUUGUUGGCGGGGUAACGGCCCACCAAGGCGACGAUCAGUAGGGGUUCUGAGAGGAAGGUCCCCCCACAUUGGAACUGAGACACGGUCCAAACUCCUACGGGAGGCAGCAGUGAGGAAUAUUGGUCAAUAGGCGAGAGCCUGAACCAGCCAAGUAGCGUGCAGGAAGACGGCCCUAUGGGUUGUAAACUGCUUUUAUAAGGGAAUAAAGUUAGUCCU
rnacentral:rRNA from 1 species